rnacentral:rRNA from 1 species
GAACCUGAAACCGUGUACGUACAAGCAGUGGGAGCACGCUUAGGCGUGUGACUGCGUACCUUUUGUAUAAUGGGUCAGCGACUUAUAUUCUGUAGCAAGGUUAACCGAAUAGGGGAGCCGAAGGGAAACCGAGUCUUAACUGGGCGUUAAGUUGCAGGGUAUAGACCCGAAACCCGGUGAUCUAGCCAUGGGCAGGUUGAAGGUUGGGUAACACUAACUGGAGGACCGAACCGACUAAUGUUGAAAAAUUAGCGGAUGACUUGUGGCUGGGGGUGAAAGGCCAAUCAAACCGGGAGAUAGCUGGUUCUCCCCGAAAGCUAUUUAGGUAGCGCCUCGUGAAUUCAUCUCCGGGGGUAGAGCACUGUUUCGGCAAGGGGGUCAUCCCGACUUACCAACCCGAUGCAAACUGCGAAUACCGGAGAAUGUUAUCACGGGAGACACACGGCGGGUGCUAACGUCCGUCGUGAAGAGGGAAACAACCCAGACCGCCAGCUAAGGUCCCAAAGUCAUGGUUAAGUGGGAAACGAUGUGGGAAGGCCCAGACAGCCAGGAUGUUGGCUUAGAAGCAGCCAUCAUUUAAAGAAAGCGUAAUAGCUCACUGGUCGAGUCGGCCUGCGCGGAAGAUGUAACGGGGCUAAACCAUGCACCGAAGCUGCGGCAGCGACGCUUAUGCGUUGUUGGGUAGGGGAGCGUUCUGUAAGCCUGCGAAGGUGUGCUGUGAGGCAUGCUGGAGGUAUCAGAAGUGCGAAUGCUGACAUAAGUAACGAUAAAGCGGGUGAAAAGCCCGCUCGCCGGAAGACCAAGGGUUCCUGUCCAACGUUAAUCGGGGCAGGGUGAGUCGACCCCUAAGGCGAGGCCGAAAGGCGUAGUCGAUGGGAAACAGGUUAAUAUUCCUGUACUUGGUGUUACUGCGAAGGGGGGACGGAGAAGGCUAUGUUGGCCGGGCGACGGUUGUCCCGGUUUAAGCG